UUCACAGAGCAUUCAGAAAAAGAAGUUGAUGUUAAAAAGGAACACGCUAUGGAUGAAGAAUCUGAAGUGCCAAACUGAAUUGCAUCUGUAACAACGUUACAGAAUAUCAAUCUUAUUUCCUCUGGCUCCAAAGAUGGUUUUAUUCAACUUUGGAGACAAGAUGAUGAGAAUAUUUGUUUUGUUGCACAUCAUCUUGGAAAUACUUAGUUGCUGGAAAUGGCAAAGAACAUUCAUACAAAAUAUUGAAUAAAAUAAAUAAAUUCAAUUAUAUAUUCUAUCAUCAAUUAGGUAAGGGAUAUAU